AGGAUGAACGCUGGCGGCGUGCCUAACACAUGCAAGUCGAACGUCCUGUCUCGCAAGAGGCAGGGAGUGGCGGACGGGUGAGUACCACGUGGGUCAUCUACCGUGAGGUGAGGAAUACCGGCGAGAAAUCGCCGACAAGACCGCAUAGGCUCGAUGCAAGUCGAGCAAAGCUCUUUCGAGAGAGGGAGCGCCACACGAGGAGCCUGCGCCCGAUUAGCUAGCUGGUGGAGUAACGGUUCACCAGGGCGACGAUCGGUAGCUGGUCUGAGAGGACGAUCAGCCACACUGGGAUUGAGAACGGCCCAGACUCCUACGGGGGGCAGCAGUGAGGAAUUUUCGUCAAUGGGGGCAACCCUGAACGAGCAACGCCGCGUGCAGGAAGAGGUUUCGGAUCGUAAACUGCUUUUCGUCGGGAAGAGAACGGACGGUACCCGAGGAAUCAGCCCCGGCUAACUACGCGCCAGCAGCCGCGGU
rnacentral:rRNA from 1 species